ACUAAGGUGUCUGAUUAAAGUAGUAAACUGUAAAUUUAUUUAAAGGCUUUGCCUUCUUAGUA
rnacentral:tRNA from 2 species